CGAUGAGUAGGGCGGGACACGUGGUAUCCUGUCUGAAUAUGGGGGGCCCAUCCUCCAAGGCUAAAUACUCCUGACUGACCGAUAGUGAACCAGUACCGUGAGGGAAAGGCGAAAAGAACCCCGGCGAGGGGAGUGAAAAAGAACCUGAAACCGUGUACGUACAAGCAGUGGGAGCACGCUUAGGCGUGUGACUGCGUACCUUUUGUAUAAUGGGUCAGCGACUUAUAUUCUGUAGCAAGGUUAACCGAAUAGGGGAGCCGAAGGGAAACCGAGUCUUAACUGGGCGUUAAGUUGCAGGGUAUAGACCCGAAACCCGGUGAUCUAGCCAUGGGCAGGUUGAAGGUUGGGUAACACUAACUGGAGGACCGAACCGACUAAUGUUGAAAAAUUAGCGGAUGACUUGUGGCUGGGGGUGAAAGGCCAAUCAAACCGGGAGAUAGCUGGUUCUCCCCGAAAGCUAUUUAGGUAGCGCCUCGUGAAUUCAUCUCCGGGGGUAGAGCACUGUUUCGGCAAGGGGGUCAUCCCGACUUACC
rnacentral:rRNA from 1 species